rnacentral:rRNA from 1 species
UGGCCUCAGAUCAGGGAGGAU